AGUGAACGCUGGCGGUAGGCCUAACACAUGCAAGUCGAACGGCAGCACAGUAAGAGCUUGCUCUUACGGGUGGCGAGUGGCGGACGGGUGAGGAAUACAUCGGAAUCUACUUUUUCGUGGGGGAUAACGUAGGGAAACUUACGCUAAUACCGCAUACGACCUACGGGUGAAAGCAGGGGAUCUUCGGACCUUGCGCGAUUGAAUGAGCCGAUGUCGGAUUAGCUAGUUGGCGGGGUAAAGGCCCACCAAGGCGACGAUCCGUAGCUGGUCUGAGAGGAUGAUCAGCCACACUGGAACUGAGACACGGUCCAGACUCCUACGGGAGGCAGCAGUGGGGAAUAUUGGACAAUGGGCGCAAGCCUGAUCCAGCCAUACUGCGUGGGUGAAGAAGGCCUUCGGGUUGUAAAGCCCUUUUGUUGGGAAAGAAAAGCAGCAGGUUAAUACCCCGCUGUUCUGACGGUACCCAAAGAAUAAGCACCGGCUAACUUCG
rnacentral:rRNA from 1 species